GGGCAAGCGUUGUUCGGAAUUACUGGGCGUAAAGGGCGCGUAGGCGGCCAUCUAAGUCGGACGUGAAAUCCCUCGGCUUAACCGAGGAACUGCGUCCGAUACUGGAAGGCUUGAAUCCGGGAGAGGGAUGUGGAAUUCCAGGUGUAGCGGUGAAAUGCGUAGAUAUCUGGAGGAACACCGGUGGCGAAGGCGGCAUCCUGGACCGGCAUUGACGCUGAGGCGCGAAAGCUAGGGGAGCAAACGGG
rnacentral:rRNA from 1 species